GCGGAUGCGCCGACGAUGGAGAGUCGGGCCCGGCUGUAACCCGGGUGCCUUGUGCUCAGGGAGUUCGAAUCUCCCCAUCCGCAC
rnacentral:tRNA from 1 species